UACGAGUGGUGCAAGCGUUAUUCGGAAUUAUUAGGGCGUAAAGGGUGUGCAGACGGUUCAUUAAGUCACUUGUUAAAUUCUUCGGCCUAACUGAAGGUAUGCGAGUGAAACUGAUAAGCUUGAGGAUGGAAGAGAGAAGCGGAAUUCUCGGAGUAGCGGUAAAAUGCGUAGAUCUCGAGAGGAACACCAAUGGCGAAGGCAGCUUCUUGGUCCAUUCCUGACGUUCAUACACGAAAGCGUGGGGAGCAAACAGG
rnacentral:rRNA from 1 species